rnacentral:lncRNA from 1 species
GGUAUGAUGCAUUUCCUGACUGUGGUCGGCUUUCCAUGGGUGAAACAGAAAAGUCUUCAAAUAUCCUCACCAACUGCUUUCCUAGAUUUUUCAGCCAGUUACUUGACCAUAUUAGGAAAAGAAAGCAUACUACACCCAUCUCAGAGCUGGCCCCUUGAGGAAGCCACACCGCCACAGGAACCAUUGUAAUCUCUGCAUCAAGUUCAAGUUCACAAAUAAGCAAAGAGACUUGUGACAAAGAGCUAGGUGAAAACAGGGGAAAAAGGAGGAAAAUAAGGAAGCACCAGACUAAACCUGAAGAAAGGGGACAUUUAAAAAUUCUUCCUUUUGUGUUCAGAGCUCACAAUAUAGAAAAAGAUACGGUUAAAAAAAAGUCGUGAUGCUCAUAAAAAGCAACAUUUUAUUUUCAAACCAAUUACAUUAAUUAUACAAUUACCUUGUAGCCAGUAAGAAUCACAUAUAUAUGAAAGCAAAAUAUUGUUUAAUUGAAUAAAACAAUCUGACACAUAUGCCCAAAAAACAAUAGAGUAAAUAAGAGUUUCCCCAACAAUGGCAAAGAGAAUAAUUUUCAUGUUGAGUUUUAUUGAUCUCCGGAACAGUAGCUCCCCUAAGCAGAGAACCAUAACAGAAUUAAGGAAAGAUAUUUCCAUUCCAGAGACCAGACAUUUGGAGGACAUAAUUGAUUCUGAGAGAAAUUUCUCCAAGGAUUCCUGCAGUUCUCCUUUGAACAUACGAAGAGGGAACAUUCUUUCAGUCCUAGAAGUUGCUGAAGCAGAGAUGGAGAACCCCAGACUGGAGGGCUUUGAUUUCACCCUGCACAUCUAAGGGCACAAAUUGGUUCCAGGUCUUGGAAUGUGGCAUCAUGAAUUCUAUUCUGCUGUCUAUAGGAGACACAUGCCUGGAUAGAUGUUUGUUUUAAUAUCACUCUUCAGGAAGUUAGAGAAACAUUUAUUUCUUUUUCCUUAAGGCAUUGACUUUGGAACAAGUGUUUAGAUCUGUAAUUUUAGUGCCUGGCAUCUUGCCCCUGCUUAGGGGAAUGAUCGGGAAUGGGGUUGGGGAGGCUACAUACUUCCAUCAUCUGUUUAUCUAAUAAGCUACUUUCAUUCCAAUGUCAGCUGUAAUCUGAACUACCUUUCUUCCCUCUUUUCUAUUCCCCCAUUGUUACCUGUCCUCCAAAUGCUUUUCACUCAAUCCUCUUCAACUGCUCUAUUGAUGAAGAACUUUCACUUACACACACAAAAUUUUGCAUAGAAACUUCUGGGCUCUUGAAAGCACCUUGUGAUGUAGCAACCAUCUCAGAUCACUUUCUUGUAAACCCAGCAUAGAUUCCUGGUUCAUUACUUAGAAGACCCUGUGACCACCACUUCCAAGUUCUUUGCUUCCUUAUCUUUAUGCCAUAUUCUCAAUGAAGCCCCAUGUCUUUUUUCCUAUCAUUAUCUUGGAGUAUAUAGCAAGACCCCUGAAAGCAUCUUCAGACUCACAGACAUGAGCCUUAGCUGGGAUUUCAGUGGCGCUAGAAACUGUGAGAGCAUAGCUCUGGUUAGUGUCCUUCUGAAUGCCCCCUGGAGUAUCUUUGUAUAACUUCCUGUCACUCCUUGGAGACUUUUACUCACUCCAUUGCUGCCCCCCAGAAAUCUGAGAGGGCCACUUUGUCCUCUUCUUCACAAGGAAACUGACAUAUAAACUUGGUUAAGUUUCUCCCAUUUGAAAAACAAUUAGGCAACACUUGCUGGACCUCCAUCCAUCUCGAAACAUUUUUCUUUAUAAUUACUUUGCCCCUUGGUAGGAAAGUGUGAAAUAUUUGACUAGACUUAUUCAUUUCACAUUAUUUUCCCAACCAACUGAAUCUGACUGUCCUUAUGACUUCACUUUAUGGUAGAGGUUGUCUAUACUCCCUUAACUGCUGACUCCUAAAGAUGGUUGGAUAGAUAUAGAUAUAGAUAUAGAUAUAGAUAUAGUUAUAGAUAUAGAUAUUCUUUUCUCCUUUGACUUCUGAGCUGUUAAUGCCCCUUGCAAAUGUCUUUUUGAAUUUCUUCCUUCACUUGAGAUCUUUGACACUCAUUCUUUCCCAGCUGUUUUUUCUAUUCUCUUCCCCCUCUUAGUCUGCUUUAAUAGGGUCUCUUCUCCCACAUUUUAAAAUAUGGGAUUGCUAAUGACUCAUUGUCAGUUGUUUUCUUUGUUUUACACAGCAUCCUAGCAACUUUAUCUGCACUCCUGUGUUUGAUUACUAUCUACACACUUUGGCUGUCUCCUGUGGUGGUGAAUAGCUUGAGCUCAGGGAGCAAAGAACUUAAUUGGAAUUGUGAUGUUGCUGCUUCUUUCCUGAAUGCUCAUGAACAAGUCACUUCACAUCUUGUAACUUGGUUAUUUUAUUUGCUCCUCCCCAAUACCAUUGAACCACUUGAAUUUGUUCCACAGAGUAAAAACCAGAAAACAACUUUUCUAAUAUUCUUUUUUAUAACUGGGACUGAAAGAUACACCCAAGACUCUGUCAAUCUGACUACUUGUGUAAGCUCGGGAUUUUGGAACUAGAGACACAGACAAGCAGGAGCAUCUGGUUUGAGUGGGGUUAGGGACAUCCAGUUUCAGAUGCUUCAGUGGCAGAAGUUCUAGUAGUAGCAUCUGUGGUCUGGCUUUGGGGAGGAGAUUUUGGGUGCUUGGACAUCAGUGUGCAGUGGUGGCAAUAGGGCCAUCUCAAGGGGAGCACGGCCUCCAGUGAAUUUGCAGCCUUUGUACCUUGUGGUUUGCUGUGUAGAUUCUAAACCUCCUGUGACAGCAACAAGCUGACUAACUACCCUUAAUAGAUUUCUUUUCUGCUAAAAUAACUAACAUGGUUUUUCCACAAGAAGAUGCCAUUUCUUCCCUGUCUAAUGAGAAUGUUUCCCUAGAAUGGCUUUGCCAGGUGCAAAUACCUUGUAAGGGUAAAGAGGAUUCUCCUGAUGACAUCACAUCAUGGCAUCUCAUAAUUGUCAAUCAGUAAUGGCUAGAUCUUGUUAGUGACCCAUUUUUUGUUUUGUUUUGUUUUGUUUUAUGGUUCACGAGCUAAGGUUGGCUUUUAUGUUUUUAAGUGGUAUCAAUUUAAAUGGUUUUCAUAAGUGCCCACAUUAUAUCUUAGAUUUGGUCUCAUCUUAAAAUAUUUACUGUUUUGCUGUUUAAGAAAAAUUUCGCUGGUCCUUGAUCUAGGCUCUGAAGAAAGAAGUCUUAAAUUCCUGGAGGUAGAAACGAUGGAUUGGCUUUGUUCUUUACUACCUAACUACUUUUGGCUAAACUUGUCCCACAAAAGGGACUUCUUUCAUGCACUAUUAAUGUGGCUGCUAUUCAAAAUGCAGGGAGGGGGUAGUAUGUUUGGAACACAGGCACCCCAUGAGAUUGUCAUGUCCAAUGAUAAAAAUUUGUGAAAGAUUAUAAGCCAGUCAUUAAAGGGGUGUGCAAACAUGUAAAAAAAAAAAAAGAUUGUCGCAUUAAAAGUAGACCCUCUGGUUUCAGAUCUCUGAGGAAUAUGUUUGGGUUACGUCAACGGGUAAAGAACCUUAACCAAAUGAGCAGAUGGCUGAGGGUAAAACCAACAAACAAACAAAACAAAAACAUGGUUUACAUGAAGGAGGAGAAAUGUUAUAAAUUCUAAAUGCACCCUUGUGACUACUUGCAGUAUUUACACGUUUUUUUUCUUUCAUGUGUCAUGUAUGCAUUUGACUAUUCUAGCAUAUCUCCCCCUUUUGCUUUUUCUCUUUUAUAUAGGGUAUCUUCAUGGUGGGAAACUUUAUCUCUUAACUCAUAGUUUAC